AGCGAACGCUGGCGGCAGGCUUAACACAUGCAAGUCGAGCGGGCAUCUUCGGAUGUCAGCGGCAGACGGGUGAGUAACACGUGGGAACGUACCCUUCGGUUCGGAACAACUCUGGGAAACUGGAGCUAAUACCGGAUACGCCCUUAUGGGGAAAGGUUUACUGCCGAAGGAUCGGCCCGCGUCUGAUUAGCUAGUUGGUGGGGUAACGGCCUACCAAGGCGACGAUCAGUAGCUGGUCUGAGAGGAUGAUCAGCCACACUGGGACUGAGACACGGCCCAGACUCCUCCGGGGGGCAGCAGUGGGGAAUAGUGGACAAGGGGCGAAAGCAUGAUCCAGCCAUGCGGGGUGAGUGAUGAAGGCUUAGGGGUUGAAAAGCUCUUUUGUCCGGGACGAUAAUGACGGUACCGGAAGAAUAAGCCCGGGCUAACUUCG
rnacentral:rRNA from 1 species